rnacentral:rRNA from 1 species
UACGUAGGUGGCGAGCGUUGUCCGGAUUUACUGGGCGUAAAGGGCGUGCAGGCGGCCCGUUAAGUGCAUGGUGAAAGCUCCCGGCUCAACUGGGAGAGGUCUGUGUAUACUGGCGGGCUUGAGGGGGGUAGAGGAAAGUGGAAUUCCCGGUGUAGUGGUGAUAUGCGUAGAUAUCGGGAGGAACACCUGUGGCGAAGGCAGCUCGCUGGGACGUUACUGACACUGAGGCGCGAAAGCGUGGGGAGCGAACAGG